UCCAGUUUAUCCUGCUGGCGGCUGCGGCUAUCUGGCUUGCACUUAGACAUGCAAGUCUCUCGAAAGAGGGCAAACUGCUCAGUAACACGUAGCUAAUCUGCCCUUAGGUCGCGGAUAUCCUCGGGAAACUGAGUGUAAUAAGCGAUAAGAAAUGUUUUCUGGAAUGAGAUAUUUCUGAAGUCUACCUAAGGAUGAGGCUGCGGCUGAUUAGGUAGUUGGUAGUGUAAAGGACCACCAAGCCUUUGAUCAGUAAGGGCCCUUAGCGGGGAAGCCCUGAGAAUGAGUCUGAGACACUACUCAUAGCCCUACGGGGUGCAGCAGUUAGGGAUUUUUUGCAAUGCGCGCAAGCGUGACAAAGCGAGCCAGAGUGUUUUUCAAUUUUGAAAAACUUUUGCCAGCUGUAAAAAGGCUGGCGAAUAAGGACUGGGCAAGACCGGUGCCAGCCGCCGCGGUAAUCCCGGCAGUCCAAGUCGCAGCCACAAUUAUUGGGUCUAAAACAUCCGUAGCUUGCUUUGUAAGUCUAUUGUGAAAUUCUAUCUCUUAAGGGUAGAGCUUGCAAUGGAUACUGCAAGGCUAGAGACUGGUGGACGUGAGAAGUACAUCUGAGGUAGUGGUAAAAUACGUUAAUCUUGGAUGGACUAACAACAGCGAAGGCAUCUCACGAUGACAGUUCUGACAGUGAGGGAUGAAGGCUAGGGGCGCAAAAUGGAUUAGAUACCCAUGUAGUCCUAGCAGUAAACACUGCGCACUAAACAUUAGUACCUCCUCGAGAGGUAUUAGUGCUGUAGCGAAGGCGAAGAGUGCGCUACCUGGGAAGUAUAGCCGCAAGGCCGAAACUUAAAGGAAUUGGCGGGGGAGCACUACAACGGGUGACGCGUGCGGUUCAAUUAGAUUCUACACCGUGAACCUCACCAGCACCGACAGCAGAAUGAAGGUCAGUCUGAAGGGCUUACCUGACACGCUGAGAGGAGUUGCAUGGCCGACGUCAGCCUGUGUCGUGAGAUGACCUGUUAAAUCAGGUAACAGGCGAGACCCAUGUGUAUAGUUGCUAUCUGAAUAAGAUGCUCUCUAUACAGACUGCCUGGGCAACCAGGAGGAGGGUGUGGGCUACGUUAGGUCAGUAUGGCCCGAAUGCGCUGGGCUACACGCGCGCGGCAAUGCUGGAUACAAUGAGAUGCGACUCUGAAAAGAGAAGCUAAUCUCAUAAAGUUCAGCUCAGUUCAGAUUGAGGCAUGUAACUAGCCUCAUGACGCCGGAAUCCGUAGUAAUCGUUCGUGAGCAGCGAACGGUGAAUAAGUCCCUGCUCCUUGCACACACCGCCCGUCAAACCAACCGAGUUUUGCAUUGAAGAGGCCCUUAGGGGACGAACCUUUGUAAGACAAGGUAGGUUAAGUCGACACAAGGUA
rnacentral:rRNA from 1 species